AACAGACCCACUCUGGCCUUUGCCAUUGGCCAGAUGACUAAAAGUCACUGGGAGGCUGCACCUGCACCUGCCUCCCAGGAAGAACAUCAUGGCCAGUUAAAAGGGGAGGGAGAUCAACCUGGCCCCAGCUGCUGGCCAGAGAAGGACCAUCUGCAGGACACUUUGCAUCCCCCUCCCUGCCAGAAAGAACAUUCUGUUUCAACUGCUAGGUGGUCCGGAGCUGCAAAACUGAACAGAAGCAUGAUCUGGCUCCAUCCAUUGUCCAGAGGACUAGGAGCUGCUGGAUAGGAAAGGAUGUAGUGGUACCAUGUCUGCCUUACAUGUAGAAGGUUCCAGGUUCAGUCUCCAGCAUCUCUUGGUAGGACUGGGGGAGACUUCUCCCUGACACCCUGGAGAGCCACUGCCAGUGUGUGUUGGAAAUCCUGAGCAAGAUUUUAUCAUAGGAAAACUUGUGAUCCACCAAGCACAGCCCAACAGUUGUGAGUGCUUUGAACAGCAAGAAUGUGUCUGUGGAACAUAUGACAAGGCAAGUGGAGAACUGCAGCUGUGGAUCCCUGGCUUUGCCAAUGAACCCCGUCAGUACCCUCAGAAUGGGUGAAGGUGCACUCCUCAGAACCAGAGUUCGUCUCUCUUCCCUUACCCGGUUUGAGAAAUGCAAUUCUUCUGUGCCUUGCUAAAAGGAAUAAAAACAGGCUUUGGGGCUGUUUUUUGGAUUUGCGGAUGCAUUUUGAAAUUAGUCACCACUCGGCUAUGCAAAGGCCUGGAAAAAGAGGAGGGACCACCAUGACGGGCGCAGCUCUCUCCCGGAGCAGGCAGAAGACAGAUUUAACAAUGGGGGCGCGCGGGAGAUUGACUGAUUGCAGCUCCCUGGAGUCAAGCCUGAAGCAGAAGGAUCCCCACUGACACUACCCUUGAGCAAGCAGGGAGAGGCAGCUGGGGCCUGGGAACAUGUGGAUGCUGAACUUGUUUAUUGGACUCUUUCCCGUUUCCCC